rnacentral:misc_RNA from 1 species
AUUAGCGAAAAACUAAAAAACGACACGCCAUCAAGGGUUGCAAACAAAAAUUCACUCAGAUGUCCUUUCACUCUCUUCGGUAGACAAAAAAACCCCACAGAAAUGCCCAAAUUUACAACAUUAAACCCUAACCGCCACAACCACCACCAUCACCACCACAACAACACUUGGCUUACUCAUACAAGAAGCACGCGGCAAUGACUACCACCAAUCUCAGAUCCUCUGCGACAAUGUCACACCGUAACAGCCCCGCGCAAGCUCUCCCCUUGGUUGUCACUCUCAACUGCAUCGAGGAUUGCGCCAUCGAGCAAGACUCUCUAGCCGGCAU